GAUUAGACAUCAGGUCUUAAGUUGUCCCAUUGAAAGAUCCCCAAAGGGAGACCUUCACUCAAGUCUCAGGAAGUCACGGACCCCAGACACACGAGAGACC
rnacentral:pre_miRNA from 14 species